rnacentral:rRNA from 1 species
GAUGAACGCUGGCGGCGUGCCUAAUACAUGCAAGUCGAGCGAACCACUUCGGUGGUGAGCGGCGAACGGGUGAGUAACACGUAGGUGAUCUGCCCAUCAGACGGGGACAACGAUUGGAAACGAUCGCUAAUACCGGAUAGGACGAAAGUUUAAAGGUGCUUCUGGCACCGCUGAUGGAUGAGCCUGCGGCGCAUUAGCUAGUUGGUAGGGUAAAGGCCUACCAAGGCGACGAUGCGUAGCCGACCUGAGAGGGUGAACGGCCACACUGGGACUGAGACACGGCCCAGACUCCUACGGGAGGCAGCAGUAGGGAAUCUUCGGCAAUGGGCGAAAGCCUGACUGAGCAACGCCGCGUGAAUGAUGAAGGCCUUCGGGUUGUAAAAUUCUGUUAUAAGGGAAGAAAGACACGAGUAGGAAAUGGCUCGUGAGUGACGGUACCUUAUGAGAAAGCCACGGCUAACUACGUGCCAGCCGCCGCCGUAA